rnacentral:rRNA from 1 species
AGAGUUUGAUCCUGGCUCAGGAUGAACGCUAGCGACAGGCUUAACACAUGCAAGUCGAGGGGCAGCACAGGGUAGCAAUACUUGGGUGGCGACCGGCGCACGGGUGAGUAACGCGUAUGCAACUUACCUAUCAGAGGGGGAUAGCCCGGCGAAAGUCGGAUUAAUACCCCAUGAAACAGGGGUCCCGCAUGGGAAUAUUUGUUAAAGAUUCAUCGCUGAUAGAUAGGCAUGCGUUCCAUUAGGCAGUUGGCGGGGUAACGGCCCACCAAACCGACGAUGGAUAGGGGUUCUGAGAGGAAGGUCCCCCACAUUGGUACUGAGACACGGACCAAACUCCUACGGGAGGCAGCAGUGAGGAAUAUUGGUCAAUGGCCGAGAGGCUGAACCAGCCAAGUCGCGUGAAGGAAGAAGGAUCUAUGGUUUGUAAACUUCUUUUAUAGGGGAAUAAAGUGGAGGACGUGUCCUUUUUUGUAUGUACCCUAUGAAUAAGCAUCGGCUAACUCCGUGCCAGCAGCCGCGGUAAUACGGAGGAUGCGAGCGUUAUCCGGAUUUAUUGGGUUUAAAGGGUGCGUAGGUGGUGAUUUAAGUCAGCGGUGAAAGUUUGUGGCUCAACCAUAAAAUUGCCGUUGAAACUGGGUUACUUGAGUGUGUUUGAGGUAGGCGGAAUGCGUGGUGUAGCGGUGAAAUGCAUAGAUAUCACGCAGAACUCCGAUUGCGAAGGCAGCUUACUAAGCUACAACUGACACUGAAGCACGAAAGCGUGGGGAUCAAACAGGAUUAGAUACCCUGGUAGUCCACGCAGUAAACGAUGAUUACUAGGAGUUUGCGAUACAAUGUAAGCUCUACAGCGAAAGCGUUAAGUAAUCCACCUGGGGAGUACGCCGGCAACGGUGAAACUCAAAGGAAUUGACGGGGGCCCGCACAAGCGGAGGAACAUGUG